rnacentral:lncRNA from 1 species
GCCUGCAUACACAGGAGACAGGGAGCCGAUCCCCAACAUAGUUCCGCUGCACAGUUUUUAUUCCAUCAGUGUGAAGUUAGUCAGGUCCUGACCACUCUCAUCCUCGAGCAUAUCAUCACACAGCUGCCCCUGCAACUGCUUCAGUAAAGCAGACUAAGAUCUACAUGGAGCCUCAUCCUGUCUUCAGAUACUCCCCUUUGCAGUUUGUACAGAUUAAACCAUGUCUUGUGAUUCUGGAGAAGAUGAAACUCCCAGUGAACUUGUAAUGGACAGCCCUGAAGACACAUGCAGUAACCACUGAGUCUCAUCCAAGAGAGCAGGGAAGUUCCUGGAAUGUAGGCCAGUCAUUUCAAUCUAACAAAAAACAAUCAAUUCUCAGUAAUUUAAAGUUCUCUUAAAUAGUCAGCCCAGACAGGAAGGAUUCCAGUUUAAUUAACUACAGGCUUAAACCUACAAAGGGGCAUUCUGCAUCUCUUGAGACCACUGCACACCUUUUGCAAAGGAAAGCUGGAGGCAUCUUCUGAGAAUAAACAUCAAGACCACUGCUGCUCUGUUUCAAACUUGCCCCCACAGUGCCCAGAUCUCUGCAGAGUGCAGCACCCACCAUUUUUGCUAUGACAGUCAGAAAGUUCUUGAUUCCUUAACAUGGGAACAUCAGCAUGUUGUUACUCCCAGACAUUUCUUUCUUCACUUUUCAAUGUUUUCUCUGUGCUAUCUGUCAUCACCUUGUUUUCUCAUUUUCCUUUUAAUUAAAGAUUAUUAUUCAAAGGAGGAAAUGUAGCACAAUUUGAGAAUUCAUUCAGCAUGUAUAGAGAUGCAUGUGGUCUACU